GACGAACGCUGGCGGCGUGCUUAACACAUGCAAGUCGAACGGAAAGGCCCUGCUUGCAGGGUGCUCGAGUGGCGAACGGGUGAGUAACACGUGGGUGAUCUGCCCCUUAUUUUGGGAUAAGCCUGGGAAACUGGGUCUAAUACUGGAUAGGACCAUGCUGUAGGUGGUGUGGUGGAAAGAUUAGUUUCGGUAAGGGAUGAGCUCGCGGCCUAUCAGCUUGUUGGUGGGGUAAUGGCCUACCAAGGCGUCGACGGGUAGCCGGCCUGAGAGGGUGGACGGCCACAUUGGGACUGAGGUACGGCCCAGACUCCUACGGGAGGCAGGAGUGGGGAAUAUUGCAAAAUGGGCGCAAGCCUGAUGCAGCGACGCCGCGUGGGGGAUGACGGCCUUCGGGUUGUAAACUCCUUUCAGCCAUGACGAAGCCCUUGUGGUGACGGUAGUGGUAGAAGAAGCACCGGCUAACUACGUG
rnacentral:rRNA from 1 species